UACGUAGGUGGCAAGCGUUGUCCGGAAUACUGGGCGUAAAGCGUGCGCAGGCGGUUUGGUAAGACAGAUGUGAAAUCCCCCGGGCUUAACCUGGGAAUUGCAUUUGUGACUGCAUAGCUAGAGUACGGUAGAGGGGGGAUGGAAUUCCGCGUGUAGCAGUGAAAUGCGUAGAUAUGCGGAGGAACACCGAUGGCGAAGGGCAAUCCCCCUGGACCUGUACUGACGCUCAUGCACGAAAAGCGUGGGGAGCAAACGAGG
rnacentral:rRNA from 1 species